CUACCAUGAUGAUAUAUUGAACUCUCUCUUGCUGAAUCUUUUGAAGAAACUACUUUACCAGAUUCUGAGUAGU
ensembl:snoRNA SNORD26 Small nucleolar RNA SNORD26